CCACAACCCCCUUCAUCUUCUCCACGAACCCAUCGAAUGGCCCCUUCAUCUUCCCCACCCAGAUUUGAAAUCCCCUUCACACAAAGCCCCAAAACUCUAACCCUAACCCUAAACCUUACAAUUUUAUGUUCAUUAUAGUUGAGGGUUAAAUGUCUUUACUUAUAAGGAAAACUUGUUCCUUUAAAAGCGCCAUGAUUUGGAUGUGAUAUGCAUACUACGAUGAGAUUAAGGUACAAGUGUUGGUGAAAUUACAAGUACAACAACCAAGAGCCGAGCGAAGCAUUCAGGGAUAUAGAACUAUUAGUUUCUGUAAAAAUCCUUCGCAGGCUGUAAAAAAUAUUUAUGGGUUCAUUUUAAUAGAUAUGGGUUUGAUUUUGUAUUAGUAUCAGGUUGACAGAUUUGGACGUGCUUUUGUAUUUGGCAGCUUCUAAUCAUGAACUGUUAUCAAGUUAGUAGAAGUCAGUUUGGAAUGAUAUGAACCUAGAAUGAGAUGGUCAUUUU